AUCUCUCCAGCCCAUGUGCUGACUCUUAAUAGAUUUUUUUUUUUUUUGAGACAAAGUCUCAUUCUGUAAUCACACUGGCCUUAAACUUGUAGUAGUAUUACUAUAUCAGCCAUAGAGUGCUGAAAUUACAGGCAUUAACGACUGUGUCUGGCUUUGACUUCUUAACUUAGAAAUUAGAUGCUCCUAUGAGUGGAGAAGGGGCUCUCAGAGCUCCUUACACUUACUUCUCUCUAUUGGCAACCAAAAGAUUCUAAGAGAGGGGUAGGCAUAGUAUCCAGUUGUACCCACUGGUGAGCCUACCAGGCUCAGAUGGUUCCAAAUGCAGGGUCAUACAGAUGGCAUUAGUAAAAUUCUUUAGGACCCUAAACAAAACCCUGUAAAUAUGGGAAAGAUUUGUAAAGAAGAAGGAAGAUUGGCAGAGGUACUAGUAAAAUAAAUGAUUGUCACAGGAGAAAGUAAUCGGAAUAUAGUGUGUGUGUGUGUGUGUGUGUGUAAAAUUGUCAAAGAAAAAAAUAACAAUUAUUUGCUGACACAUUAGAAAAAACAUAGGCUGGAAACCAAUUUUGGCUUGAAGAUAUUUGAAAGAGGAAAUCUAUUUUGCGGAGAGUAAGAGCAAAAUUUUAGUCCAAUAUGUGCUAAACUGAAAAAUAAGAAAUUCUUAUGUGUCUGAAAUUCAGAACAUGGGGGGAAAAUAAUAUCAUUUGAGAGCUAAAUAGAGUAGCAUACAUCUGUAAUUGCAGUACUUAGGAGGCUAAAAUAGAGGGAAUCACACAUUCCAGGCUAAUCUGAACUACAUAUCAAGAUCUGUCUUAAUUGGAAAUGUGGGUGUUAGAGAGAGCUGCUAAAAGCACUGGUUGUUCUUACAGAGGACUCAGGGUUCAAUUUUUACCUCCCAAGUAGCAGCAGCUCACAGCUGUCUAUAAUUCCAGUGUCAGUGGAUCCAACACUCUUUUCUGGCUUUUACAGGCACUAGGCAUGCAUAUGCAUACAUACAGAUAGAACACCCAUAAACCUAAAAUAUAUAGAAAAACUCAUUUAAAAAAAACAAAAUAAAGAUAAGUAAAUCAUUUUAAAAAGAAAAGAAACACUGCUCACUGUUGAGGCCUUGGGAGAUGUAUCAGCUGUUAAGAGCAAUUUCUGCUCUUCCAGAGGCCCUGGUCUAAGUUCCCAGCACACAUGUCAUGUGCCUCACAACUGCCUAUAGUAAUUCCAGCUCCAAAAGAUCUGAAGCCCUCUUCUGAAUUCAGGUGCACAUACACAGAUACACAAAAACACAUUGUGAAAAAUAAUUGUAAAGAAGAAGCACUGCUGCUGCUCAAUAUUUUUCUUCCUAUUGCAAAACUGCUCUUUAGCCCAUGACACCCUUUUGCUAGUUGUACAAUACUAAUUUAUGUUGUUAUGGAUAUGGUAUAGCCUUAAAUUUUAUUUCAGAUAUGUUUAGAUUUACUUGUCUUUUCGGCAAAACAGAACUUAUUUUUCAAAUAGAAAUACAGCUUUGUAAGACUAUUGUUUAAACUAUUGUGUACAUUUUUUUAAUUUUUUGAGGUAACCAUCUAUUAUGACUUCAUUUUGGGAAUCUAGUAGAAAUUUUCAGAAUUCCCAGUGUGAAAGAAAAACUCAGUGUUAGUGAUAGAAAAUAUUUUUCUUUGACUUUCCUUAUGGGGAGAAAGUUGGGGGGCAGUGUAUGCACAUACACCUGGAGGCUGGGGAUAAAUGUCAGACGCCGUCCUCAGUGACUCUUCAGCUGUUCUUUCAUUUUUUAUUUAUUUUUUAUUUAUGCGUGCAUGCAUACAUAUGUGCCUGCAUGCCACUGUUCUCAGGUAAGAAGAGCGUCAGAUUCCCUGGAGCUAGAGUUACAAUCAGUUAUGAGCCACCAGACACACUGGGGACCAAACUCGGGUCCUGAAAGAACAGCAGAGUGUUCUUAACCUCAUCUCUUCUGUCCUUCUUCACCUUACAUAUAUUUUAUAAUGUGUGUGUGUGUGUGUGUGUGUGUGUGUGUGAUGUAUGUCUGCAUGUAGACACUCAAUAGAGCAUAAUGUGGAGGUUAGAAGACAUCUUGCAGGAGUUAGCUUUCUUUCCUCAACAUAGGUUCCUGAGAUUAAAACCUCAGAUCAUUAGGCUUGAUGGCAAGGCCUUUGACUGCUGGCCCAUGUCACCAGUCCUUCUCUAGCCUUAUUUUUUGAGACAGGAUUUCUGACUGAACCUUGAUGUCACCAACCUAGCUAGACUGGCUAGCCAGCAACCCCCUGUGCUCCUCCUAAUUCUGCCUUCCCAGUCUAGGGUUAUUGUGUGCAUACAACUGAGCCUGGGUACUUGGGAUCAAAUUCAGAUAUUCUUGAUCAUACAGCAGUUGUUUUACCAAUUGAGCCGUUAAUCCACCCCCAAUUUAAUACUCUUUAAAUGGACAUAUGCAUUACAUACCAAAGGUGUUUUCCUUAAUAAUGGAGAAAUCAAAUUGUUUAAAAGUAUCUUCUUAAGGUUUGUUUGUGUUUGUUUUGUUUUGUUUUUGUGGGUUUUGAGACAGGGUUUUUCUGCAGCUCUGGCUGUCCUGGUGCUUUUACUCUGUGAACAGGCAGGCCUUGAACUCAGAGAUCCACCUGUCCUUGCCUCCUGAAUGCUGGGUUUAAAGGCGUGCACCAUCACUGCCUGGCAAGAUUAUUUUUGAUAAGUUUUUAUUUUGAUGGUAACAGUUUUUUUGGCUGGGCAUGAGGGCAUAUGUCUGUAAGUAUAGCACACCUGGGAGGCAGAGGCAGGUAGAGUUCAAGGUUACACUGGUCUAUAUAGUGAGUUCCAUCCAGACCAUUCACC
rnacentral:lncRNA from 1 species